rnacentral:lncRNA from 1 species
AAGGAUCAAAAGCUACAUAGAGAAGUUCUCACAAGAUAGCCAUUACUCUCAGCCGGGCGCAGUGACUCAUGCAUGUAAUCCCAGCACUUUGGGAGGCCGAGGCGGGCAGAUCAUUUGAGGUCAGGAGUUCAAGACCAGCCUGGCCAACAUGGUGAAACCCCUGUCUCUACUAAAAAUUCAAAAAUUAGCCAGGCGUGGUGGCAGGCACCUGUAAUCCUAGCUACUUGGGAGGCUGAGACAGGAGAAUUGCUUAAACCCAGUAGGUGGAGGUUGCAGCAAGCUAAGAUUGUGCCAUUACACUCCACCCUGGGCAAUAGAAUGAGACUUAGUCUCAAAAAAAAAAAAAAAAAAGCCUCAGAAACCGUAAUCGGUGACUCAAAACUGAUUGGAUUUGGGACUUUGGACUCAACAGCUUAUACAGACAGCUUAAUAAAAAGCAUAAUGAGGCCGGGCAGAGUGGCUCAUGCCUAUAAUACCAGCACUUUGGGAGGUCGAGGCGGGAGGACUGCCUGAGCCCUGGGAUUCAAGACCAGCCUGGGCCCAUCUCUACAAAAAUUUUUUAAAAAAUUAUUAGCCAAGAGUGGUGGUGUGUACCUGUAGUCCUAGCAGCCCGGGAGGCUGGGAUGGGAGGAUCACUUGAGCCAGGGUGGUGCCACUGCACUCCAGCUUUGGCAACGGGAGUGAGACCCUAUCUCAAAAAAAAAAAAAAAAAAUGCAUAAUAGAAGUUUAUUAAUUUACACUUGGGUCACUAUGAAGCAGACCAAACAGUUAUGUCAGCCUAGCCACUUGGCAUUUUUUGCCUGACGUUUAACUGUGUAGCAAUUCGUUAACCAAAAGGUUGCUUAGUGAGCACUGAAUCAGGUGAGGAGGCUCCGUGACUUAAAGGCAGAAUGACUUUAGGCUCUAAUCAACCUGAGGGUGAUCUCCUAAGGGCAACUGGACACAGGACUUGCAGUGCAGUCAUUUCAUUAGACCAAAGUGAGGUCUAUGGAAAGGCCUGCUAACUCAAAACUAUCUGCCUAAUAACUGUUAUAUUUGCAUUGGUACAAAAACAGUGGUGGGUAAAACUGCUGGUGCCACAGCAUAAAGCAAGGCAGUGGUACUCAGAAAAAUGAGUGGCACUCUUGCUUCCCUGCUGUGCAUAUAGUGAAGAAUGUCCUUGAUUAGUCAUGUAUUUUUUUAUUCACAACACCCAACCUGUAUUUUAACGUGACUGAAUGAAAGUAUGCAUAAUACAUAUCCAUAUGAUUGUCUUGAGGAAAAGCAUUUGUGCAGCUGUGUAAGGUGUGGGCUGUACAGGACGCAUUUUCAUGGAACACCAUUUACUUAAACAACAAACACACUGGUUAUUCAUUCUUGGAUGGUUGGUAUAUAGUCUCUCAAAAACGAAUGAUAGGCCGGGCGUGGUGGCCCACCCCUGUAAUCCCAGCACUUUGGGAGGCCAAGGCAGGCGGAACACGAGGUCAGGAGAUCAAGACCAUCCUGGCUAACAUGGUGAGACCCCAUCUUUACUAAAAAUACAAAAAAAAGAAAAAAGAAAAAA